rnacentral:rRNA from 1 species
UGGGGAAUAUUGCGCAAUGGGGGGAACCCUGACGCAGCCAUGCCGCGUGAAUGAAGAAGGCCUUCGGGUUGUAAAGUUCUUUCGGUAUUGAGGAAGGUUGAUGUGAUAAUAGCACAUCAAAUUGACGUUAAAUACAGAAGAAGCACCGGCUAACUCCGUGCCAGCAGCCGCGGUAAUACGGAGGGUGCGAGCGUUAAUCGGAAUAACUGGGCGUAAAGGGCACGCAGGCGGUUAUUUAAGUGAGGUGUGAAAGCCCUGGGCUUAACCUAGGAAUUGCAUUUCAGACUGGGUAACUAGAGUACUUUAGGGAGGGGUAGAAUUCCACGUGUAGCGGUGAAAUGCGUAGAGAUGUGGAGGAAUACCGAAGGCGAAGGCAGCCCCUUGGGAAUGUACUGACGCUCAUGUGCGAAAGCGUGGGGAGCAAACAGGAUUAGAUACCCUGGUAGUCCACGCUGUAAACGCUGUCGAUUUGGGGGUUGGGGUUUAACUUUGGCGCCCGUAGCUAACGUGAUAAAUCGACCGCCUGGGGAGUACGGCCGCAAGGUUA